rnacentral:rRNA from 1 species
AUACGGAGGGUGCGAGCGUUAAUCGGAAUUACUGGGCGUAAAGCGCGCGUAGGCGGCUAAGUAAGUCGGAUGUGAAAGCCCUGGGCUCAACCUGGGAAUUGCACUCGAUACUGCUUGGCUAGAGUAUGGUAGAGGGUAGUGGAAUUCCUGGUGUAGCGGUGAAAUGCGUAGAUAUCAGGAGGAACAUCAGUGGCGAAGGCGGCUACCUGGACCAAUACUGACGCUAAGGUGCGAAAGCGUGGGGAGCAAACAGGAUUAGAAACCCCAGUAGUCC